rnacentral:lncRNA from 1 species
GAGGAUGGUCUGGCAUGGUUCUUUGUGAUGUAAGGCAACACAACUAGCCUGAUGCUCUCAGUGUGAUGCUCUCAGAGUGACACAACAAAUGCCACACUGGGAGCUAAUUAACACGUGCCUGAGACUUGAAGCAAUAGAGAGAGAGAGCGCCAUGGUUCUCCCACAGACGUAGAGUUGGUAGAGAGCUUAGUCAUCUCCUUUCCAGUAUCCUCUCUUUCUGAAGGGGAAACUGAGUCCCUCAGAAUGCAAGACUUUUUCCCAAGGUCCUCCAUCAAGUUAUAGGUAGAGCCAGGACCAGAAAAUGCAGGCCUUCUGUCUUCUAGUUUGCAGAAUUAGUGCUGCUCCUAUUGUAGUGGCAUGCCUGUUUCAUUCUUUGCAUCUCAUUACUCUCUCUUCCCGUCAUCACAGACCUCCCUGGCCUGUCUGGAUUGUGGGAAGAGGAGAAAACUGUCCCGAGGACUGGAGACCAUACCACACUGAUCUCAGGAGGAGUGAUGGAAGCCUUGCAAAGGGACACCAGGCAAAUCAGAAGCCCAGAGCUGGGCUCUUCAGAGGCAAGUACGAGGAGGCUUUAGGGACAGAGAUGCUGUGGAUAGGA